UACGUAGGGCGCGAGCGUUGUCCGGAAUCAUUGGGCGUAAAGAGCUCGUAGGCGGCCUGUCGCGUCUGCUGUGAAAUCCCGGGGCUCAACCCCGGGCGUGCAGUGGAUACGGGCUGGCUGGAGGCAGGGCAGGGGAGAACGGAAUUCCCGGUGUAGCGGUGAAAUGCGCAGAUAUCGGGAGGAACACCGGUGGCGAAGGCGGUUCUCUGGGCCUGUACUGACGCUGAGGAGCGAAAGCGUGGGGAGCGAACAGG
rnacentral:rRNA from 1 species